rnacentral:tRNA from 1 species
GUGGAUAUAACUCAGUUGGUAAGAGUAUUAGGUUGUGGUUCUAAGAGUCACAGGUUCAAAUCCUGUUAUUCGCC